GGGACAAGAAGGUGGCUUGGAGGAAGAGGAUAGGAGCCCUCCUGCAAACACCCCUGACUCUGCAGUGGGGUCUCACCUGAGAACUACCCCCAUAGUUUCAGCAGGGCAGUUCUUUGUGGAGACAGUGGGUGCAGAGACCAGCAGGCUGGGGAUGAGGAACAACCCCCUUCAGAGCCCAGCCCUUAUCAGAGUCCACACCUCCCAGACAGAACGGCUAAGAAGGCACACAGACCCCAGCAAGUCAGACCUGGAAGCAUACUCACUGCUGGAGGCCUGGGGUCCUUGGUACAGGGGAGUUCCCCUGGUUAAGGGAAACCUUAGCCCUUGUCUGGGCCCAGCUGUAUGACCAAGGCUGGUAUCCAGGCCCUUAGCUUGGACACUGGCAGCGCUGCCCACCUCCCUGAUGUCUUUGUCCCCUGCUGUUGGCUGGGUUCCUGGUCUGAAUGAUCUGAGUAACCCACAGCAGCAUGGCCGCUAUCUGUUGCCAAAAUCCAUUUCAUCCAAUGCCCAGAACCUCCUGCUGUCCCAGUCCACCCCUGGAUAUUGACAAGGCCUGGGUGAGCCAAGGACCUUCCACAACACCCUGCAUUUGUGGGCUGGCCAGCUUCCUGGGGAACCGUCCUCCCUGGGACCCUCCCCAGUCUCAGCAUGUUCAGUUCCCACUGGCUCUCCUAGGACAGUAACUUGUCCCUGUGCAUGUAGCUUGCAUCACCCUCGAUAUCAACUUCCUAAAGUGGUGGCCUGGACAAUGAAUUUCUAAAGACAGUGACACCAAAAUAUGUCAUCCAUCCCCUGUGUUUCUCUCAUGAUAUGAGGUUGACCUGCCUCUAUUUGAGGGGUGUCUAUGUCCUCUGAAUCUAAGUGGACCUUGGAAACCACUCCAACCAAUAGAUCAAGGGAAGUCACACUAUGUGGCUUCUGGAACCAAGUUGCUUCUCUCCUGGGUCCCGUGCCUCCUGGAGCCCAGGGCUACCACGAGGGACAUUGCCAUGCAGGAGGCCAUAUGGAGAGAGCACAGGGAGCCUUGGAUGCCCACAGUGCCCAGCUGGUCAAGCCUUCCUGCUGCAGCCCCGGGUGUCCUGGAGCUAAGACAAGCCCUCACACGGUGCUCGGCCCAUGUCCCCAACCCACACACCAAGAGAGCAGUACAUACGGUUUUGCAAAGCAUUGAAGUUUGGGGUAGUUUGUUAUGCA
rnacentral:lncRNA from 1 species